UUGGGCUUCCCUGUACGGCGAGUGAAGCGGGAAGAGCUCAAAUUUGAAAUCUGGUGGCCUCAGGUCAUCCGAGUUGUAAUCUAUAGAAGUGUUUUCCGUGCUGGCUCAUGUACAAGUCCCUUGGAACAGGGCGUCAUAGAGGGUGAGAAUCCCGUCCUUGACAUGAACUACCAGUGCUCUGUGAUACAUUUUCAACGAGUCGAGUUGUUUGGGAAUGCAGCUCAAAAUGGGUGGUAAAUUCCAUCUAAAGCUAAAUAUUGGCGAGAGACCGAUAGCGAACAAGUACCGUGAGGGAAAGAUGAAAAGCACUUUGGAAAGAGAGUUAAACAGUAUGUGAAAUUGUUGAAAGGGAAACGAUUGAAGUCAGUCGUGCUCUUUGGAUUCAGCCGGUUCUGCCGGUGUACUUCCUUUGAGUGGGGUCAACAUCAGUUUUGAUCGCUGGAUAAAGGCUGGAGGAACGUAGUACCCUCGGGUAAACUUAUAGCCUCCUGUCACAUACAGUGGUUGGGACUGAGGAACGCAGCACGCCUUUAUGGCCGGGAUUCGUCCACGUACGUGCUUAGGAUGUUGACAUAAUGGCUUUAAACGACCCGUCUUGAAACCACGGAACCAAAA
rnacentral:rRNA from 1 species